rnacentral:rRNA from 1 species
CCUACGGGAGGCAGCAGUGGGGAAUAUUGCACAAUGGGGGAAAGCCUGAUGGAGCAACGCCGCGUGAGGGAAGAAGGAUUUCGGGAUGUAAAGCGCUAUUAGAAGGGAAGAAAAUGACGGUAACUGACGAAUAAGCCCCGGCUAACUACGUGCCAGCAGCCGCGGUCAUACGUAGGGGGCGAGCGUUAUCCGGAGUUACUGGGUGUAAAGGGAUCGGAGCCGGCAGAGCAAGGUUGAUGUGAAAUCCCAGGGCUUAAACAUGGAACUGCUUUGGAAACUGUGCAGCUAGAGUGCAGGAGAGGUAAGCGGAAUUCCUAGUGUAGCGGUGAAAUGCGUAGAUAUUAGGAGGAACACCAGUGGCGAAGGCGGCUUACUGGACUGUAACUGACGUUGAGGCUCGAAAGCGUGGGGAGCAAACAGGAUUAGAUACCCCUGUAGUC